GGGCCUAUAGCUCAGCUGGUUAGAGCGCACGCCUGAUAAGCGUGAGGUCGAUGGUUCAAAUCCAUUUAGGCCCA
rnacentral:tRNA from 1 species